UACGUAGGUGUCGAGCGUUGGCCGGAUUUAUUGGGCGUCAAGCGCCCUCAGGCGGCCAGGCAAGUCCAGGGUGAAAUCUCCCGGCUCAACCGGGAGGGUGCCCUGGAAACUGCUUGGCUUGAGGCAGGGAGAGGGAUGUGGAAUUCCCGGUGUAGUGGUGAAAUGCGUAGAUAUCGGGAGGAACACCAGUGGCGAAGGCGGCAUCCUGGCCCUGUCAUGACCAGCAGGGGCGAAAGCGUGGGGAGCAAACCGG
rnacentral:rRNA from 1 species